rnacentral:tRNA from 1 species
GGCCCGUUGGUCAAGAGGUCAAGACGCGGCCCUCUCACGGCUGAAACAAGGGUUCAAUUCCCUUACGGGUCA